AUGGCCAAGCAAGUGUAUGAGUGCAAUUGGGUUCCUUCUCGCGUCACAGAGGCUGAACUGGACGAUUUAGUCCUGAUUGGUGCUUUAGGCAGCAAAGAUAUCAUCCAUUGGAGGGCUCCUGGCAAAGAAUGCCCUCCCACACCUCGAGAAGGAGAGGUUGUUGUUUUCGUAGAUCACUUAGCCCGGGGCUUUAAACCGCCCGGUUCUAAAUUUUACCGAGAUGUUUUAGCCGAUUUCCAGCUCCAUCCACAAGAUACUGGCCCCAACUCUGUUACAAAUAUGUGUCACUUCCAAGUGCUCUGCGAAGCGUUCUUUCAAGAGGAGCCCACAGUGGAACUGUUCAGAGACCUAUUCCAUCUAAACCGUCGUACUGAAUUUACUGACGGCUCCAAUACGGAGUUGGGUGGCGUGGCGAUUCAGAAAAGGAAAGAGGUCACAUACCCUCACGCCAAACUACAUAGCCACCCCAAAGAAUGGAAUCAGACAUGGUUCUACUGCAAAGACACCUCCCCUGCUAGUGAGAAUCCCUUGCCUGGCUUUCGACCGGAGCGGCUCAGCAAUACACACCCUUCUCCACAAAGAUUGACUGCACAGGAGAGAAGUAAAUAUGCUCCUCAGCUAUCAAAGCUUAGAGCUUUUAUGGCCAACGGUUUACAGGGGUUGACCUUGCUCGCUGUUGGAUAUCAUGGAGCAUACUGCCUCUUAGUCAGCACUCCGGUUUGA
rnacentral:rRNA from 1 species